rnacentral:rRNA from 1 species
AGAGUUUGAUCCUGGCUCAGGAUGAACGCUAGCGACAGGCUUAACACAUGCAAGUCGAGGGGCAGCGGGGGAGCGGCAACGCUCCCGCCGGCGACCGGCGCACGGGUGAGUAACACGUAUGCAACCUGCCCCGGGCCGGGGCAUAAGCGGUAGAAAUGCCGUCUAAUUCCCCAUGACGCACAGGGGGGACAUCCCCCUUGUGCCAAAGGAGUCAAAUCCGGCCCGGGAUGGGCAUGCGGCGCAUUAGGCAGUUGGCGGUGCAACGGACCACCAAACCUACGAUGCGUAGGGGUUCUGAGAGGAAGGCCCCCCACACUGGUACUGAGACACGGACCAGACUCCUACGGGAGGCAGCAGUGAGGAAUAUUGGUCAAUGGGCGAGAGCCUGAACCAGCCAAGUCGCGUGAGGGAGGAAGGCCCUACGGGUUGUAAACCUCUUUUGCCGGGGAGCAAAGGCCGGGACGUGUCCCGGUUCGAGAGUACCCGGAGAAUAAGCAUCGGCUAACUCCGUGCCAGCAGCCGCGGUAAUACGGAGGAUGCGAGCGUUAUCCGGAUUUAUUGGGUUUAAAGGGUGCGUAGGCGGGAGAUCAAGUCAGUGGUGAAAUGGUGUGGCUCAACCAUAGCAUUGCCGUUGAAACUGGUUUUCUUGAGAGCGAACAAGGUACGCGGAAUGUGUUGUGUAGCGGUGAAAUGCUUAGAUAUGACACAGAACACCGAUUGCGAAGGCAGCGUACCGGGCCGCAUCUGACGCUGAGGCUCGAAAGUGUGGGGAUCGAACAGGAUUAGAUACCCUGGUAGUCCACACAGUAAACGAUGAACACUAGCUG